AUGAAAAUGCUGCCAUGUAGUUCCCACUGACAUUUAAACUGUGAAAAGUGGGGAAGGCGGUCUCACAUCUGCGAAGCGAAACCAAAACUGCCUUUAAAUAACAAGACAGAUAGCAGUGGCCACAGAUCAAGGAGUGGUGCUACUCAGCAAAGCUGCAUAAAAUAUGCAAAUUCAGGAGACUUAUGAUACACACGAUAGUGAGGGUAGUUAAAAACAAAAUCCCUGGCUUGAAUCACUGACCCAUGAAGAACCAAAGGCGAAUUGCAUCUAUAAAUCCAGAACACUUUUUUUUUCUGUUCCUUGGCAAAUGAUUAGUUUUUUAUUCAGAAAUUUGGAGCAGGUUUGUGGGUCCCAAUAGUUUUGUAGAACUUCAAUUCGUGGGGAGUUAUUUCUUUCUCUAUUGUCAUAGCAUGGUUUCAACGAAGUCUGACACCGUGCCACACUCUGCCAGCUGCAUGUGACAUUUCCCACUGUGACACAGCUUGAAACAUUAUGCUUGCCACUAGGAGACUUCGCCAUAGAUGAUGUCAAAAUAAUUCCUCCGCUCUUGAGAGAAACAAUAGUAUAGCAUGAGAACAUGCAAACAUGGUUUGCACUGAAGCACAUGCAAGUCACUGUGAAACAAGGCCAUCAAACAAGUCCCAGUCUAUGUGAGGAAAACAUUUUGGCAUUUACAAAAGUACAAGCGCCAAAAAAUGCAAAUUCAUCAACACUGUGCAAUGCAUCACAA
rnacentral:lncRNA from 1 species